CAGCUCGGGCCCCAGGGACCAGAGCGCUCGCCCUGGCUGCGCUUCAGGCGUCACCCGGCGGCAGGCAACAACUGAAUAAACACGCUGAAGUUCUGCCGGUUCUCCCGGCCGCAGUCGUCUA
rfam:Ochotona princeps cont2.200690, whole genome shotgun sequence.